rnacentral:lncRNA from 1 species
AAUAUAUUUUGAGGAUUAGAUUUGUUAGCAGAUGGUAACUAUGUGAAACAGUAAUAGAAGUUCUCCUUUUGGCAUAUACUCCAAUUUUAUUCUACUUGUUUGCCACGUUUGAGCCUGUUACCUUGAGACUGCUAUGGCUGCCUUCUCAACCUCUCCAACUCCCACCCUCCAACUGAUUAUGGUUUACUUAUUGGACUCUGCAAAUGAAUAAAGAGGGAGUAUGAGGAAAGGAGGCAGUCCAAGCUUUAGGAGAGGCCAUGGGAGUGAGCUUGUCGAACAAGACUUGGUCCUGGCUUCUCUUUAAGCUUACGGUUUAGGCGGACACAGAUUAUGAACACACACUGGAUUAAUGUGGCUUUAGGAAAGGGAAUCUCAAGGCCUUAGGCAAGCCCUGGAGUAACCUCGAUGGCCUCCCCACAAGAGAACCCGAGGAAGGGUCUAGGGCCUAAGAGCACCAGAAUCACCAACGCCGGGGAUUGGUGGGGAGCCUGAAGAAUCUAAUUCCGAGGAUGCUCUGCGCGCAGACACGGCUUAUCCACGCGCCACUGCAAGAGCCAGACCUAGGCCGGCCCCGGACACCGAGAGCCAAUGGCCAGGCCCGUCCUGCCCCGUCCGGGAUUGGCUGUGCGUGCCGCGGCCCUCCACCCCGCCCCGCUCAGCGUCUUCCCGGGUUUGGCUGAGCUCCCCGACUUCUCCAAGGAUCGGCUGCGAGCCCCGCCCUCGCCCAGAGUCUUCCCGGGAUUGGCUGCGGGCCCCGCGACCCUCCUCCUCCCCUUCCCCGCCCCGCCCCGCCCGGCGCCGCCUCUCUGGUUUGUUCGGCCGGUGCAGGUCGCCUGCCUCUUUGUCAGCUGGAAUGGCGUGGGCGGACGCGCCACUACUUUGUAGCGGGUUUCGGGCGGGCCACGCGUGCGGCGACAGGAACCCAACCCCAGCCGACCUUGAGCUCAGGAGUUCGUCUCUUACGACUGCGGAAGUGCAGCUGCCUCAAUCCUUAGGACAGGUUGACAACUACAGGUACAAGCCAUUGAAGCUGGAAUGUCCUGUUGCUGGUAUUUCAGUUGACUUAAGCCAACUAUCCCUUCCAUUACAAUAGGAAAGUGCCUCUAAUAAGGCCAAAUAUGCGUACUAACUUGUAGCAACCACGUGUCCGUGCAGUGCCACAGGAGCUAGAGCAGUGGGACAUUGCUGGUGGCAACAGGGCAAUGUAGCAGGUGCUUCGUGUUCACCUUUUCAACAUUCUUCAUUUAAUUGUCACAACUCAGAGGUGGAUUCUGUUAGGGACAAGCUGCCCCAGGACCACCCCGCCCCCGCCAACUCAAUGCAGCUGACCCUUAACCUGAAUACUCUGCAGCUGCAUUCCUGAACCCUUAUCUAGGUGCCACAGCAAGGUCCCCAGACUUGCUACACCGAAGCCCUCCGGGUGGCACGGGGGAGGUCAUGAGAAACGUGGAUAAACCUAAGUUACACCCCCUUGUAAAUUCCUGUUUUCACAAGAUAAUAUAUUGUAAGCUGGCCACGAGAUGAAAUGUGGUAAAGUUAAUCAACUAACAACCCCCCGGGUCUCUCUCUCCCCCAUAUAAACCCCUCAUUUUGUAAACUCAGGGCUGCCACCUCUGACUGGUGGAGAAGCCCGGCAGGUUAAUAAACUUACUUGCCUUACCUUGGGUCUCUCGUCUUUUCUCUCUGCUAACCUUACAGAUUCUAUUCUCCCAUUUCAUACGUAAAGAAAUGGAUUAGGGGUAACUCAAGUUUCAUCACAUGUGAGUAUCUCUGAGAGGCUUCACGUGUAUAACUUUUCAGCAGUGUGACUUCUGGAAAGUCACCUGUCUCUUGAGAUUUGGUGUCCUGCUGUAACAGUUAAGAAUUAAACUAGGAAAGAACCACAGUAGAGCUGUUAGGAAUAUGAACUAUUUGUAUUAUUUCAUUGCAUUGAGCCGAAGAAGUUUCACAAAAUUUGGCACAAAAUGAGUAUCUGUCAGCGCAUUCUGGUUUUUUUGUGUGUUUAUGUAGCAAGUAUUUAAUAUUUAUCUUGGAGUCAUUCUUAAUUCAUAGCACUGUUCUUACCUUUUUAUCUAAGCUUUUAUGUUCCAUAUUGUAAAGUCUAGCCUCAUAAGUUUAGGUAAUCGCUCAUAAGUUCAGAUAAUGUUGAAUUGUAAUCCCAGUGUUGGAGGAGGGGCCUGGUGGGAGGUGAUUGGAUCAAAAGGGUGGAUUUCCCUCUUACUGUUCCUUAUAAUAGUGAGUUCUCAUGAGAUCUGGUUGUUUAGAUGUGUAGUGUGGCUGGGGCAGUGGCUGGUGCCUGUAAUCCCAGCACUUGGGAAGGCCAAGGCAGGGGGAUCGCUUGAGGUCAGGAGUUAAGACUAUCUUGGGCAACAUAGUAACACCUCCUCUCUACAAAAAAUGAGGCAGAAGGAUUGCUUGAGCCCAAGAGGUUGAGACUGCAGUGAGCCAUGAUCUUGUCACUGCUCCAGCCUGAAAAGAAAAAUUAAUAAAAAUAAAGAUUAUGCAAUUGUGCAUAUGUUUUCUCAAGUCAGAGGCAGAAGAAUGGCAGAGUUUAGAUUAAAAGUGUGGCACCUCCCCUUCCUCCUACUUUGGCCAUGUGCUUCCUUUUAGACAUACCCCAUGAUUGUGAGUUUCCUGAAGCCUCAGCAGCCAAGCUCCCUGUGCAGCCUGCUGAGAUGAGACAAACCUUUUCUUUAUAAAUUACCCAGUCUCAGUUCCUUAUAGAAAUGUGAGAAUGGACUAGUACAAAAAAUAUUCAACUAAUGCAUUAGCUGGCUAUAAUUGCUAAGGAGGGGAGGAAAGGGAGAUGACUUAACAUGGCCAGCAAGGGAGGCCUCACUCAACAUGAAAGAGCUGAGGGAGAUGUCAUGGCCUUAUAUAUAGUUGAGGGGAGAGCAUUCUAGGCAGAGGGAAAACUAGUGCAAAGGCCCUGAGGAUAGUUGUGUUUAAAGGUUUGGAGAAGCAGUGAAGCUACAGAGAAGUACCCUUGGAGGGGAGGAGUUAAUGUCUGUAUAUAGUAGUGGAGAGUUGGUUAUUUUCAAACUCUUGUAAAAUGGCAAUGUGCUCUGGCCUUCAGGGCUCUGAAUGUUUUAAUUUAACUGGAAUGCUCCCUAUUGCCUUAUACCUUACUGCUCUUAACCUAACUUUUCUCUGACCACCACCAGCCCGUCUAUGUAAUGGCCCUGUAGAAUCAGAACUACAUUGCACAUUGUGUGUGAACUUGCCUAACUGCCUGUGCUUCUCUCCAUUCUGUAAAGUCCCCCUUGGUUCCCACCAUAUUACAGAGGGUCUAGUCAGGUGCUUGACAUUUUGUAGGUAAGUGGCUUAUAGUCCCCUUCUAAGGGCAGCAUAAUGUUGAGCCUAGGUUCAGAUCUCUAUGUGUGAUCUUAAACCACUUAGUGUUAGGUUUUAUUAACGAGUAAUAUGUGAUACAUCAGACUACUUGGUAAGUAGUAAGUACUCAGCAAAUGAUAUAUUAGUUGGUAGUACUAUUUAAUCAUUUUUAUAAUACCGUAGAGUCAUAAUGUUAGAACAAAAUGACAAUAUUGAUAUUUAGUAUUCUGCAUGUUUCGGCCGCACAUCUACUAAAUUUGGAACUGAUACUUAGUAUUUACAUAGUACUGGAAUAGCUCUAAUGUUCUUUUAAUGGAGCGUUUAACUAUGGAUCAAGUACUAUUCUAGGUAUCGUAAGAAUCAGUGAGCAAGUAUACAAAAAUCAGUGGAUAUGGUUGGUUGUGAUAACUCAUUGGCCACAUUUCAAAUAUUCAAUAGCUGCAUGUGGCUAGGGGCAGCACAGAUAAAAAGGCUCUAGCAAAUAGUUGUCAAGAAUAACCACUGGUUUCACAAAGCACUCCACGGAGUCCUGGUGGUGGUCCUCUCCCCCUUGAGUUAUUUGGGCAGAGGCCCUGUAACACAUCCACGGCUCAACAGCCACAUGUGGUUAGGGGCAGCAUAGAUAGAAAACAUUUCCAUUACUGCAGGGUUUUAUUAGCAGUACUGUUGUAGCAUUGCAUGAUGCAGCCAACUUUUCAGAAGAGACAAGCUGUCAGAACCUGGAAAGACAGUGUAGUCUGAAUGACUGCCUCCAGAGAUAAUCAGCCCUAAUCUCUGGAACCUGUAAAUGCUACCUUAUUUGCAGAUAUUAUUAUAAUUAGAUUAAGGAUCUCAGGAUGGGGAGAUUACUUUGGAUAAUCCUAGUGGGCCCUAAAUGCGAUCACAAGUUCCCUCAUGAGAGAGAGCACGAGGGACAUCCACACACAGCAGAUUGGAAGAUGCUGGCCUUGAAGAUCGGAGUGAGGCAGCCCCCAGGAGCGGGGAGAUACCAAGGAACACAUUCCCCAGCAGAGCCUCCCUGAGGAGCAUCAUUUGAUUUGGCUCAGUGAAACUAAUUUCUGACUUCUGGCCUUCAGAACUGAGAAUAAAUUGCUGUUUUAAGCCACCAACUUGUAAUUUGUUACAGCAACCUCUAAGAUCACAAAUACAGCUGGGGCAAGAACCCCACCACCUCAGCCUGCCUCCACUGUUUUUAUUAGUGCCGUGUGGGUGGUUGGGAGUAGAUCCUAUAUAUAUUCAUUAGUCAUUUUUUAAAGGUAUGACCAUGAAUUUAAAAUGUAUUUAGACUUUAAUCUUGAGAUACAUGAGCAUGUGACUAAAAUAUGUGGGGUCAGCAGAUACCUCCUAAUAAAGCAUUGUGAAAAGUAAGGAAUCAAUUUAUGGUUUAUUGGAAAGUCAUUUAUGCACACUUGUAUUUAUACAGUACAAGACA